GACGAACGCUGGCGGCGUGCUUAACACAUGCAAGUCGAGCGGUAAGGCCCUUUCGGGGGUACGACGAGCGGCGAACGGGUGAGUAACACGUGGGUGACCUGCCCUCAGCUCUGGGAUAAGCCUGGGAAACUGGGUCUAAUACCGGAUAUGACUCCAUGACGCAUGUUGUGGGGUGGAAGGCCUUGUGCGGCUGAGGAUGGGCCCGCGGCCUAUCAGCUUGUUGGUGGGGUGANGGGCCUACCAAGGCGACGACGGGUAGCCGGCCUGAGAGGGCGACCGGCCACACAGGGACUGAGACACGGCCCAGACUCCUACGGGAGGCAGCAGUGGGGAAUCUUGCGCAAGUGGGCGAAAGCCUGACGCAGCGACGCCGCGUGAGGGAUGACGGCC
rnacentral:rRNA from 1 species